CGAGCAUGGAACGCUCAGAGAAUUCACUCAAUUCGCAUCUAAUACACGUCUAUUUCUUCAAAUUCUCUAGAAAUUAGCAAUUGCAGAAAUAGUCCUCUCUGCGCUUCUUUACCAAUCCCCGAAAGCCUAUGAUUCUUGCCCAAUGCAGACAUUAAUUAUGGGUAAUCGAGAUGGAAUUGAUGACUUCUCCAGCACAAGUGCUUCUGUUCUUCUUUCAGUUCUCAAGCUUAUUGACGAACAUGAUUUGUACGGGCAAGUUGCAUACCCCAAACACCACAAGCAGUCUGAUGUUCCUGAUAUAUACUGUCUUGCAGCAAAGACAAAGACAGCAGGACAUUAAGGAGCGAGCCCUAGGGUUCGAGUAGAAGGCGGCAGUGUCCGACCGUGUUCAAGCAGACGGCGGCGAAGACCUGUUUUCUGGCGUUGUCUGAGUGGUUUUUCUCUCCUCAGUUUCUUCCUAGGCGUGGAGAUCGGUGAGAAAAGGUUUGUGUUUUUGAAUCGGCGAAGGUUGAUCUUUGAAUCGGUAACGGUUGAUCGGUGUUCGGAUUGGUCGACCCGGGUUAUAGGUUCAAGGAUCGACCUUGGAUUGCUCCCCAUCAAAGUGGUGUCGCCGUCUCAGGCUGCAUCUCAUCGGAAUUGAAAUCUGGUCAAGGUCGGCCUUCGUUUUUGAGGUCGACGUUGAUCUCCAGAUCUGUGGUGUUUGUUGGCUGAUCGAAAGAAUGGAUGCAAGGAUGGUUGCCUGGGUCGGACGUCCCCCGGACUGGGCGGAGGCGACUGCGGCGGCGGUCGGCUGGCAGCGGGGUGGUGCUCUGGCCAGCAUUUUGUCUGGGCUUAGGCCUCUGGGCCUGGACCUGGACUGUAUGGCCUUAAUCUCUGGGUCUAUUUGAGUAGGUCUAAUUCUUUUCAGAAUUGGACUGCGUUGGAGGGUGCCUUGACACCCUCAUUCAUUACUUAGUGCUUUGGGCUGGCCUGGCCAGAGAGUUUUGACCUCCUUGGGUGAUGUUGGGCCUUUAUGGUCUCUAAAGUGUCAGUCGCAAUUUGGAUCAUGGUUCUACGGAAUUGGUAAUUAUCUCGAGUUGGACUAGAGAAAGCGGCUUAUGGAUGAGGAAUUGACUCCUAUUUCUUUGCUGGGAAGUAGUGUUCUAUUUCGUACCACAAUUGCGUGAUUGGCGGAUGGUUGGCUAGAAGAUGAUUUUGCCUCAGAAGACACGGAGUUGUGCUUUGUUUAUGAGUCCGCUUUAAAAGUGGGCUCCAUUUGACUUGUAAUGAGUUUGCAGUACUUAGAUAGGAGUUUGGUUGUUACCCCGCCAUUUUUCUGUCUGGUAAGGGUAUGUAGACUAUGGCUUUUCAGCUGGUCAUCUAUGAUAUGAACCUUCUAUUCAAAAAAAAAAAUGUAAUUACUUUUUCUGGUUGUUUA